rnacentral:lncRNA from 1 species
CUUUGUACAAUCUAAAAAAGGUACAAAUCUUUCUUUCCCGUUAAUUACUGAUCUGUAACCGAUAUCGAGCGAGAUCCGCACUGUGAUAUCCGGUCAGGUAUGAAUAUCACGACCCUUUAUCCGUCAUGUGUAAUCGUUUACCGUAUUUUUCGAGGUUUUAGAAUUCGUUCAAGGUUCGGGGAGCGUUGCUUUAUCGUUCCUGGUGAUGAACACAUCGUUCUUCUUUCGUGAGUCUCUAUACGAAAGGUUCUCGGCCUCGAUUUCAGUCUCGUGCGUCCAUGCCCUCCUUCCAUUUUCUUUACUGGAAAAUUGAGGUAUGCUCUAUCCCCGAUUUUACCAGUAUUUAUGUUUUCUUGACCCCACGGUCUAUCG